rnacentral:rRNA from 1 species
CCUACGGGGGGCUGCAGUGGGAAUAUUGGACAAUGGGCGAAAGCCUGAUCCAGCCAUGCCGCGUGUGUGAAGAAGGCCUUCGGGUUGUAAAGCACUUUCAGUGGGGAAGAAAGCCUUGGGGCUAAUACCCUCGAGGAAGGACAUCACCCACAGAAGAAGCACCGGCUAACUCCGUGCCAGCAGCCGCGGUAAUACGGAGGGUGCGAGCGUUAAUCGGAAUUACUGGGCGUAAAGCGCGCGUAGGCGGUCUGAUAAGCCGGUUGUGAAAGCCCCGGGCUCAACCUGGGAACGGCAUCCGGAACUGUCAGGCUAGAGUGCAGGAGAGGAAGGUAGAAUUCCCGGUGUAGCGGUGAAAUGCGUAGAGAUCGGGAGGAAUACCAGUGGCGAAGGCGGCCUUCUGGACUGACACUGACGCUGAGGUGCGAAAGCGUGGGUAGCAAACAGGAUUAGAUACCCCUGUAGUC